rnacentral:rRNA from 1 species
CAGUCGCCGCGGGAAAACGAAGGGGGCUAGCGUUGCUCGGAAUGGCUGGGCGUAAAGGGCGCGUAGGCGGAUGGUACAGUCAGAUGUGAAAUCCCUGGGCUUAACCUGGGGGCCGCAUUUGAUACGUAUUGUCUAGAGUGAGGAGGAGGGUCGUGAAUUCCCAGUGUAGAGGUGAAAUUCGUAGAUAUUGGGAAGAACACCGGUGGCGAAGGCGGCGACCUGGUCCUUGACUGACGCUGAGGCGCGAAAGCGUGGGGAGCAAACAGGAUUAGAGACCCCCGUAGUCCCUGUCUCUUAUACC